UACGUAGGGGGCUAGCGUUGUCCGGAUUUAUUGGGCGUAAAGAGCGUGUAGGCGGCCCGGGAGGUCUGCUGUGAAAACUCGAGGCUCAACCUCGAGACGUCGGCGGAAACCAUCUGGCUAGAGUCCGGAAGAGGAGAGUGGAAUUCCUGGUGUAGCGGUGAAAUGCGCAGAUAUCAGGAAGAACACCCGUGGCGAAGGCGGCUCUCUGGGACGGUACUGACGCUGAGACGCGAAAGCGUGGGGAGCGAACAGG
rnacentral:rRNA from 1 species